rnacentral:rRNA from 1 species
GCUCAGGAUGAACGCGGCGGCGUGCUUAACACAUGCAAGUCGAACGGUGAAGCCCAGCUUGCUGGGUGGAUCAGUGGCGAACGGGUGAGUAACACGUGAGCAACCUGCCCUGGACUCUGGGAUAAGCGCUGGAAACGGCGUCUAAUACUGGAUAUGAGACGUGAUCGCAUGGUCAACGUUUGGAAAGAUUUUUCGGUCUGGGAUGGGCUCGCGGCCUAUCAGCUUGUUGGUGAGGUAAUGGCUCACCAAGGCGUCGACGGGUAGCCGGCCUGAGAGGGUGACCGGCCACACUGGGACUGAGACACGGCCCAGACUCCUACGGGAGGCAGCAGUGGGGAAUAUUGCACAAUGGGCGGAAGCCUGAUGCAGCAACGCCGCGUGAGGGAUGACGGCCUUCGGGUUGUAAACCUCUUUUAGCAAGGAAGAAGCUUUUGUGACGGUACUUGCAGAAAAAGCGCCGGCUAACUACGUGCCAGCAGCCGCGGUAAUACGUAGGGCGCAAGCGUUAUCCGGAAUUAUUGGGCGUAAAGAGCUCGUAGGCGGUUUGUCGCGUCUGCUGUGAAAUCCCGAGGCUCAACCUCGGGCCUGCAGUGGGUACGGGCAGACUAGAGUGCGGUAGUGGAAGA